GGGAAGGGAGGGGUGAAAGGUCACCGGUCCCCGGCAACACGGCUCAGGCAAACGUAAGCGGCUGGUCGCAGAAACUAAGGGGUCCACGAAACGCGCUAGGCUAGAAGGCGGGAAGGAGAGAUUACUGACAGCCGGGCCAGCCAAUAACAUGGAAAUGUGAGAAAGGUUCUUCGGGCCCCUUCCCAAUCAGGAAACUUGGGUGAUGAAGGGCCGUUAAGGGGCGGGGUGGGAUCUUGGUACAGCUGGUACUGGAGCCGGCGACAGUUUUGGCUAGUCUAAGAAGGGCAUUCGAGUGACCGUUGACCACGGGUGGGACAGCGUCACAGCUGGAGGGACAGCCAGCACUGUAUGCUUCCAGGACUUCUUGCUAGGUGCAUUAGUUUUUAUUUUUAAGAGUUGGGUAAAAGACAUUACUUAGCAUCUCACUCAUCGGCGAUUUUCUACGCGAUGAUUUCAUCCAAAGAAGAUUUCUUAAUCGCACUGUGUGACACCGUUAGGGGACUUAGAGUGUCACUCGCCGCCUUAAAUCCUUUCGGGAACAAGCCAGGAUAUAAAUAAAUAAAGCUAGGUGUGGGUCUUCCCUUCACAAGGCGCUGGUAGGCAGACUAAAGACAGGCAACAGCUGAAUGUGCACACAGAACUAAAUAUUGAACGAAACACGAGUGUCGGAAUAAAAUUCAUUGCCAUGUGCACGGCUUAUGAUUAUACAGAUCUUGGACACAUCACCGACUUGAACGUCAACCCUACAACACCGGAUAAAAACAUCUAAUGUAGCUGGAAUAGACUCUGAAAGGACAUUAGGCGUUAUCUAAAUCAAGUCCCUUAUUUUUGAGAUGAGUAAACUGACUCAGUGAGGUAUUUUGCUCAAGGUCAUUUAUCAAGUUAGUAGUUUAACUCAAGUGUUCUAGGAAGCAGGGUAGUAAACAAGCAUGGGCUUCGGAGUCUGAAAUCUUUCUCGGUUUUCCGUCCUUGCAGGCUGUUCUACAAAUGUAUCCUGGGCAAAUCUCUUAACGUGUUGCCAUUUAUUAAGUGUUUACCACGUGGCAAACAAUCCACUUUGCAUGCUGUGUCAAUUACAUGCAGUAUGUCGUGUAGUUAUUACUGUCCCCAUUUUAUGAGGUAUUUAGGUUUAAAAAUAGUAGAAAUUUACCCAAAGUUACACAGUUAUAAACAUUGUAGUAAUUUCAAACUCAGGUCUUCCUGACUGCAAAGGCUGUUGUCUUAAAUAUUGCAAUACAUUAGAGCUCCGGAUUCCCUCCCACUCAAAAUAGGGACUGCGACGCCAACCGAUUUCCACCAUUCUUGGGAGUCAAAUGAGAGAGACUAUGUGGCAAUGUAUUCUAAGCUGUAAAAAGGUAUCAACAUAUUCACUAGAUUUGUAGAAUGAAGAUAUUCCUUCCCUAUACUUUCCACUACAAUUCAACCAAAAAGAUGGCUUUCAUACUAAGCUAGCAUAAGAAGGAACUUCACUGUAAUUAUGAUAUUCUAACAAAGAGUAUAUGCAUAUCUGAGGCAAUAACCAAAGUGAAUAGAAUAAAACUUAAUUCCUGAUAGAUUAAAUAAGCAAUAACAAGGAAUACUAACGCUCCUCAUAGCAUCCUUAUUGGAAGAAUCAUCUAGAAGGCAUUGGAAUUUCUGGUGUUUUUAAGUAAUGAGAGAUAUCAAUCUACUGAAUAAGGAAGAGAAUACGUUUAGUUUGGGACUAAAAGUUCAUCUGGACUGUGGAAAACACGUUUGCCUCAAUCAGCGAAGACGGUAUGCUGACACCUGAAAGAAAAGGAAAGCAGACUUAAUAUUUAAAUACUAUUAUACCUAUCACUUCAUGGGGCCCAGAAAUGGAAGAUACAAUUUUUGAUGUGGAUGGGAUGCUGAACAGUAACUUGGCUAUGAUAUGCCAGGAAUCCCAGAGACUAUCCCAAGACAUAGCCAGACAUCUAAGUAUCAGUCAGCUAUGAGCUAUUAAUAAUUUGGACAUUGAAGAUUAUCAGAGAAUACAUUGUAAUUUAGCUUCCAUUUUUAGUAUAUUUUGUUGUUUUCUUAAAAAAAAAUACUUCCACAUCAUUCUUAUUGCAUAUCUCUACAAUUCUGAUUAAAUGGACACAAAAUAAACAUUUUACUUUUGGUUUUCUGCAUUUUGUACCAGUUAAUAAAACUGAAGAAAUAAAAAUGUAUGGUA